rnacentral:lncRNA from 1 species
CCGUCCCGGUAACCUUUAAUGACAUUGAAUGAGAUUUUUUUAUAACAACAAACUUUUUGUUAGGUGGAUUCAUUGUUGGGAAACCCGCAACUUCCAAAAGCCAAACUUAUUCAUGGGAAUUGAAUUGCUUUUCAUAGACUCAAAGGUAUUCUUACAAAUUUAAAUUAAUCUAAUCUAUAAUUUUAUUGUUAAUAUUCAUACUAACUCUUUCAUGAUCAAACCAUUUCAGUUGAUAACCAUUCAAGCGUUUAUCCCGAAACACUUCAUUCCUCGCCGAAUCAGGUAUUGGUUCAUGUUGGUUUAGUAUUGUUUUUGGUUUACUAACCGGUUUCGGAUGGUCUUAUUGUAAAUAUAAUUUAAGUUGGUUUAGCAUAUAUUAUGUUUAAAAUAACUUAAAUUAAAUAAUAAUAAUAUUAU